CAACAGACAGAGUGGAUCAUGCAGAAGGAAAAGUAAAACGCCAUGAGGUAAAAUGAAGAUGAAGAGGAGCAGGUUAAAGAAAAAAAGCUAGUCAUAAAUGGGCUAAAGCUAAAGUUGAGCAUGUCUAACCAAUAAUGUCUCCAUGUCUUGAUUUGGGAGCUGCUUGGUGACCCAGAAAAGCCGGAAGCUGCUGUGUGAGAACAGUGGCCAGCCCACCCUAGAUGCAAUAUCCAUGUGUCAGUCAAUCCUGUCAAGAGACAAGCCUCAGGGUGUGUUGCUGAAGAGGUGUCCAGGAUAGGUAAACGGACGUGAGAAGACCCACCCAACAUGUGGACAGCACCCGUCCGAGGGCUGGGGUCCUGGACUGAAUAACUAAUGAACUGGGACCGGCAUUCACCUCUCUGUGUAGACGCAAUGUGAUCAGUGGCUUCACACUCCUCCACGCCAUCCCUGUACCCUCAAGCAGAGUCCAGGUACUUGCUCCCUCCAGUGAGCUGUGGACCUUGCUGGGCUUCUGCCGCACUAUGAGAGGUCAUCACCCUCUCCAGCAGCCAUCUACUCUCUUCCCACAAGAUCCUAAGCCUGGAGAACUGGAACCAUUCUCCCAGCCCAGCAGUGCCAGGUGCCUUUCCUGUGCUCGGAACCCAGACCCUGCCUUGAUUCACUGUGGACGACACGGAAAGGGUGUCCUGUGAGGGCAGAGGACCAACAUGGAAACUAAAAGUCACCACGGCAACAGAAGCCAACGUUCUACAGCCUCAUCUUUACCUAUUGUCACAUCUCUCAUAGACAGUGCCAGAAUCUGACUGUCACAGGGACAGUGAUGACAUUUAUCCUCGAGAUAAAC